rnacentral:lncRNA from 1 species
ACGGUUUUGGGAACCUGACCCUGCCCUGCUUAAAUUCAGAGUUGAUACAUUCUGCGAGGAUGCGCUCUCGAGGAGCUGUCAGUAAGGUGUACUCGCUAUAUCUGCCCGCGGGGCCUCUUCCUUCCCGGAGCUCGCGAGGUCUUUCUUCUCUUCGUUUGUCUCCGUUGCGACGGGAAAUGCUCGUGUCCUCGCGUUUUGAGUGCUCGGUCUCCCCAGCGUUACGUCCGCUGCGGGCAUUGUGUGCCACCUGCUU